CAUGAACUUAGCUUGCUAAGUUUGAUGGCGACCGGCGCACGGGUGAGUAACACGUAUCCAACCUGCCUUACACUCUUGGACAGCCUUCUGAAAGGGAGAUUAAUACAAGAUGUUAUCAUGAGUAAGCAUUUUCGCAUGAUUAAAGGUAUUUUCCGGUAGACGAUGGGGAUGCGUUCCAUUAGAUAGUAGGCGGGGUAACGGCCCACCUAGUCAACGAUGGAUAGGGGUUCUGAGAGGAAGGUCCCCACAUUGGAACUGAGACACGGUCCAAACUCC
rnacentral:rRNA from 1 species